AAUGCUUCAAAACAAAAUAGUGUUCGGUAGAAAGUUUCUUCAAUUGUGAUUAAAAUGAUUGAGGAACACGACGAACGUGAAACAAUAUGCGACUCAGUGAAUUCAUUGGUGGAAGGCUGUCGUUUACCAGUCAGAAUGCACGGGACGGAUGAUUGGCCUCUUGCUGAAAUCAUCAGUGUUAAAGACGUACAUGGUGUCAAGUGUUAUUAUGUUCACUAUGUAGAUUUCAAUAAACGAUUAGAUGAAUGGGUUACGGAAGAUUGUUUGGACACUCGGAAAGUUCAAUACCCUCGUCGAGAUGGAACCACACCAGGAACUGGGGCAGCAACCCCCAAAAAACAAGCACCCAGUAGACCUCCUAGUCCUAGCAGCCUUAGUAAUGAACCAGUUAAUGGUUCUGCAGUUUUACAAGCUGCAUUACAGAAAAAAAUGUCUAGAAAGAGAAAGGCAACAUUUAUAGAAAAUGAGGAUUCUCAGGAUGGUCCACCACAGACACCUGGUCCAAGACCAACUGGAUCAUUGGUUGCGCAUCACCACGAUGAUAUAGUUACUAGAAUGAAAAAUGUAGAACUAAUAGAAUUAGGUCGUCAUAGAAUAAGACCCUGGUAUUUUAGCCCUUAUCCACAAGAAAUGGUAAACCUACCGUGUAUAUAUAUCUGUGAAUUCUGUCUGAAGUAUAGAAAAAGUCGAAAAUGCCUGGAGCGACAUUUAGCAAAGUGUAAUUUAAGACAUCCACCUGGCAAUGAGAUAUAUAGAAAAGGCUCAAUAUCAUUUUUCGAAAUUGACGGCCGAAAGAACAAAAAUUAUGCACAAAACCUUUGUCUACUAGCAAAAUUAUUUUUGGAUCAUAAAACGCUUUACUAUGAUACAGAUCCUUUCUUGUUUUAUGUAAUGACAGAUUUUGACAGUAGAGGAUUCCAUAUAGUUGGUUAUUUCUCAAAAGAGAAAGAAUCGACUGAGGAUCAUAACGUAGCUUGUAUUCUUACACUACCGCCGUAUCAAAGAAGGGGCUAUGGAAAAUUACUGAUAGAAUUCUCAUACGAGCUAUCCAAAUUCGAAGGUAAAACAGGUUCACCUGAAAAACCUCUAUCAGACUUGGGAUUGCUGUCUUAUAGAAGUUACUGGGCACAUACCAUAUUGGACAUUCUGUUGAAUAUAAAGCCAUUAGUAGAAAAUGAGAAGCCUCAGAUUACGAUAAGUGAAAUAUGUGAGCUGACCUCGAUUAAGAAAGAAGACGUGAUAUCGACGCUUCAGAACUUGAAUCUCAUUAAUUACUACAAAGGACAAUAUAUUGUUACAUUGAAUAGGUAAUUGGCUAAAUAGUCAAUGCGUCGUUAGGAAAAAAAACGAGUCGUGCAGACAGGAGAUUAUCGAGCAACACGCAGCUGCAAUGGAAAAGAGGCAAAUCAGGAUAGAUCCUAAGUGUCUUCAUUGGACACCAAAAGACUGGAGUGUUAGGGCAAAAUGGUGAAGUGACAUUCAAAAUCGACAAUAAGAUUAUGUUAAUUCGUCUCUAAGUGAUUUUCAGAAUCCCCUGAAAGCGUGACCAUUGUACCAUUUAUUCAAUGUAGAUACAAAAACUGUAUAUAAUAUAUCCGACCAUACUGGUCUGCGUUUUUUAAUAAGACUGUCAAGCUUUGCACGCGACUGCAAUGAUUAAAAGUGACAAAUUGAAAACGAAAAAGAACACGGAAGUAAUAAUAAUUUUUACGUUUGCAUGCGUAUCUCGAUUACGCAGUAUACCGAACAACCAUGUUCACCGAAUAUUUUAUGUGAUAAGAGAAAAGUAUCUAUUAACCCUUAGAGUGCUGAAUACUCGGGGCCUAUGCGGUCCGUACAAACGGCACGCGGCCAGCGCUGACGAUCGCUGUGGACUGAAUACUUUUUCGCUAGAUUGAACUCUGUUGAUUGACUAUUCAAAGCGCAAAUCGUAAUAAGUUAUAGUAAUUCUUUUGCACGAGAUUAAAUGA